UCUGCCCCUACCUCUCUUCUGCCUAGCGCUGGGAAUACUCCCAUCCCGGUGUGCGGGCGCAGCGCGCUGCCCGAGGAGUGCCAUAAGCUGAGCGCCGCGGCCGCAGCCCGGAAUGGGCCGCCUGAUACUACGCUGCGCGGCGCAGGGGUUUUGUUUGCGGUUUUCGGUGUAAAAUCACGACCCGACGACAAACCCAACAGCGUUUCUCACUUCACGCGGUCACAAGCGGUGCUGAAGAGUGCUUAAGGAGGUUUGGACUGUUCCCUGGCAGGGGCCUAGCCUUCUUCCUUGAAUCCAAAUAUCUACACCCGGUCUUAUGCCUGCUGCUUGCCAGUGAUCAGCGUGGUUUAACGAGACGCGUGGUCGUUAUUGGAAAAAACCAAACAACCCAACCCCGAGAAAAACAACACAAAAGCAAAGAAGUAUUUUGUGUGUCCACGUGUUCCCAGAGUGAGCGGCAAAGGAAAGUAGCAGCUGAGUCCGACUGUGCUGUACACACGACGCUGGAAAGGUGAAGCAGCUUACCUUCCUUCUUCCCCGUGAAAGCACACCUGCGCUGUAAGGCUCUUUCACUCUGCAGGAGGAUUGUGGGGACAUUACUGACUGACAUCUGGCACCAGACCUUUGAACACCCUGCAAGGGUGAAAGAGGUCAGAUCAGCAGGAAAGCAGUUCCGUCUUCAGUGAAGGAGAUCUUGAAGGAAGCUACUCACCCUGUGGGUAUACAAGAGGAAUAUUGUCACAGCAGCUGUCAAAUUAAUUCAGGCUUGAAGAGUUGUGCUUGAAGGACCCAGAUGUGAGCCAUAGUCACUCAGCUGGAGACCUUACCUCAUGGUUACUCUUCCAGGGUAAGCAAUGCUGGCUGCCUUGGUGCUCAGUCAUGUGUGGGACAGCCGAUGUACACACUACCCUGCAGCUGAGUUGGUUAGGUUUCCUGGAGCCUACCAAGGAACCUUCAGUGCACCACGUAUGAUGUGGUGUUGGCUGUCACACUCAACAAUUCCCUGUCUGAGAAGCUGCAGAGACAGGAUGAGGCAUAUACACUGGCUCAAUUCUCAAGCACUUUAUAGGAGAUUCCCACAAAAUCUCAGUGAUGGAUGGCAGAGAAAAAAUUUUUCCCUCUGGAGUUAAGAAAGAUGCAUUUAGGAAUUGCUUGGACAAGAACAGAGCUUGAAAGUUUACAAGAGGAUAAUUAUACUAUGUUCCUUACUGAAGCACUGAAGUUUGCCUAAGUCAUCUUAACAGAGAAUAUUUUGUGAUAGAUAAGAGUGCUGCAAAGAGCAAUGGACUCAAGUUUAAAUUGAAGAGUGUCAAAAUAAAAGUAACUUUUAAAUUAAGGUUUAUAUACUGAGCAUGACACCAUAUAGUCUGACCCUGUAGUCGUUUGGGCUUAACUAUCCUGGCUUCCACUCCUUGUGCACCUCCAGCCUCCUCACUGAUGAGAUGGGAUGAGGAGCAGGAAAAGCACAGACUCUGCAUAAGCCCUGAUCAGCAGUAAUUAAAACAUACUUGUUUUAUCAACACUAUUUCCAGCACAAAUCCAAAACAGCCCCAUUCCAGCUAUUGUGAAGAAAACUAAUUUUAUCCUAGCCAAAACUAACACACCUACAUGUUUUUUGUAUUUUACUUACUAAUCUUCUUGGCUUUUUCAGUUUUCUUUAUCUAGAUUUGUUUAGUAAAGUUUCUCAGUUCUCAGCCCUGGAAAUCCCUUUAGAAGGUAUGUUUUCACAAUGACUUAAAUAACUGGAGUCAGAACUGCUGUAAUACCAACCUCAUUUGCUAUGCGAGCCAAAAACUAGCCACUUAACUGUCUGAACGAGGUCACCAUGCAGCUGCACCUGCAGUGAUCCCUGUGAGUGUGAUAAUAGCAGCACUUUGUUACUUAGACUGCUUAAAAAUUGCCAAAACAUUGUUUGGAGAUCUUUCUCCACUUCCAUGUGAGAGAAGGACUUUUCUUUCACAUCAGAACUUCUUCAUAUUGCAUCUUUAACCAAGUCCUUCUUUCCCAGAUGUCACAGUAAAGUAUAGAUGACAUUGCUAUCUUAGCAGCAUUUUAUACUGUAAGUAAAACUGACUUCUGGUAUGCACAGCUUUCAGUCUGCAUCAAGAAAGAAAUACACAUAAUGCACAACAUUUUAAGGACAGAUGGUCAAAGCCUUUUCUCAUUACAGAAAGCUACCACCUGUGGAAAAAAUCAUAAUUAAAUAUAAAAUAAAGAAUUAAUAUGUUUUUUUUUUUGUGAAGCUGUAUUGCAAGUCUCUGGCACCUCACCAGGGUGUGGGUGAGAAUAUUUAUUGUGCCUAAGGAGUCACUGAUUUACCCCACCCCAGCAGUUUGUGAGUUGUAUUUUUGCUGAUAGACAAGAGACAAUCAAUGCACUGUACAAGACAGCGUCACUGAUAUGCAGUGAACACAAUCACUUUCAAUGUCUUUGUUUUCACGUUAUUUUUCUUUCUAACACUGGUAGGUGUUCACGUUUAUCACAGUAACUCAUGUUUAAGAAAGGACUUAGCACUGUUUUAUUCUUAACAUUUAGAAGUUCUGGAUAAAGAAGAUUUUCCUUUUUAAAGUACUGAAGCCUUCAAUACUGCAUCUAGCAGGUUUUAGUGAGGCAAGAUAGAUGCAAGAAAUAACCUUAAGAUGUAACUAUGCACUAAGUUAUAUUCUUGUUUCUUUGCGGUUUUUGUUCUCUUCAAGGUAGUUCUAAAACGUGUCCUGAAGAGCUCAAAGACCACAACUUGAGAUAGAAUUUCGUAGCAAAGAUUUUCCUUCUCUUGAGUAGCUGUUAAAUGCAGGAGGUAUAGUCUAAGUUUGCUUCUUUCAUUCAUUCUGUAUCCCUACUAUUAUUCCAUUUAAUUUUACAUUCUCUCUUCUACUAAGAAGCCAUCAAUAGCAAUUUAUGUAAAGUAACACAGUCACUUUCCUGUGACUUGAGUCCUUCUGUCUUCUUUCUUGCCUUCUUCGCUUCUCACACUCCUUUUAUUUUUAUCAUAACCAGAAUCCUGUCCUCACUUGGGCCUAACCAACCAGCCAGCUGCAAAGUGCUAAAGACUAGAGAGAUGAGAUUUAGAGAAAAACAACAGUGACAAAAAACCCAGUUAUUUUAUAGAAUUAGUUGAAAGAAAAAUAAAUUGGUUCAGUGCAUUCAGGUCUAGGGGAGAAAAGGUAGUCUGAAUUUUUUAUCAGUUUAGUCUGUGGGCCUCUUUCAGAUUACUCUUGUUAGAAAUCAGUUUAGUUUAGAUCUGUGACUUGCUUGGGUCUUCACAAACAGUUGAUCAGAAGAGGUUAUUCCAAAAGAAUUUUAUGUAAGAUGCAAAGUCUUCUUAGAUUUAAAUGUCAGUUAUCUGCGAGUAAUUAAAGAGCAGGUACAUUUGUAAACUGGAGUGCACAGAAACUGGAAUUAUGGAAGAAAAAGAAAGAGUAGUUUAGAUCUAUUGGUCAAGUUUGACCAACUAAGUAUAGAGAUUUUUUUCAUUUUUUAAUUAUAAAUUUCUGACAUAAUUUGUGUGAUUCCUGAAAAAAUAUGUCAGUAUAUCAUUUAAAUUAUUUUCAAGUUAAAAAUAACACCUUUGGCUGGUACAAGUGUAUGCAUAAAAUUUCUUAACUAUAUGAAUUUAAUUAAAUUGAACAACAAACUGGUUGCUGGACAAGCAUGACUAAGGCUUUACUUAAAACUGCACAUUACAAUCAAGUAAAGUUUUUACAGAUUGCUACCUUGUCUGAACAGAGUAUCUGUACACAAUUGGACCUCUACAGAAACACUGUAUCUCUGCAUUGGCUGAAUAUCUUGCUGAAAAGCUGAAAUGAGUAACAUAAACAAGGGCAUUUAUAUGGUUAUAAUGAACCUUUAAAGUUAACAUGCAUCAGGACAUAUAAGAAAAGUUCACACUUUUCUUUAAAGUACUGUUUUGUUUGCUCUAAGUUACCACAGAUUUGUUGGAAGCAUUAAUUCUCUCCAAAAGCAGCUGCAGGGUAGACCUUAGAUGUCAAAUAAGUGUUAUGUCUAUCACUGUUUCCUUCUCAAUGUUUAGCUAACAAAAGUAUAAAUUGAGUGUAAGCUAUACUUUUCUUUCUCUUCUUAUAUAUUAACUUGAACAAUCAAAAUAUGUCAGGUUCUACAUAUUAGAGGGUUUAAUAUGCCAUAACUCUCCUUUAGAGAUCUGUUAUACCAUUUCUAGGGCAGACUGCCUUUUUCAGGGUUUGCAGCAGUUACAUCAUCCAAGUCUUGUUCAUCUGGCACCUUUCUUGCUUUCCUUGUUUGCUUGGUGGUGUAUCAUAAACUUCUAGAGGUCUCAUUCAUGAUUUAUCUUCCCAAAUUCACAUGGCUGGGCAGCUGGCCUGAUUUGUUAAGCAUUUAUCAGGUACACUUGGCAGGUAGAAUGUCCCAGCAAAAGGCAUUAUAUUGGGCAGGUCUGAUGGAAUAUGCACCCUUGCUUAACGAGCUCCCGUCAUAAGGCACUUCUUGUGAUGUAGGCCCUCCUCUGUGACCAUGUGUUAGCAGGAACCUGUUUUUCAUUUGAUAAGCAUUGUUAUGUAGCCUUAUGCAUAAAAUGCCAAUUCUUUGUAACGCGUCACCGUAGCAUUAGUUUUUCUCAUUUACUGGAAGUUAAGAAACAUAAAGUGGCAUAAUUAUAUAACUAUAUACUAUUAUAUAUGACACUGUAUUUACGCCUGGAAAUUUUGUUUGCAUGCCUAUUUCAGUCACAAGCUUUCCCUGCUCAUAUUCCAAUCUGACAGAGCUUACACUACAAGUGUUUACAAAUGCAGAUGUUCAGAGCUUCCUCUCUGCUACAGGAAGGCCACUCUCAGGCAUCAGCAAACCAUCACAUUUUAUGCUAGUAUUUUCGUUACAUUUGGCCAAAACCUUGAAAACUAUGGCCUUUACACUGGAGUAAUGCAAUUCUCUAACUGGACCAACUGAAAAAAUGUAUUACAUUAGACUUGGUGCAAGUUGUAUUAAGACUGUUUUUUCUCUCUGAGUUGUGGCAGUAUAAUGGGUAGGUCAUGCUAGAAGUUAUACUAAUGAGUAGUCUUCAGUACUUCUAGGUAUAAUUAAGUUUAUAAAGAGUAACAGUUUUCAGUGUCUGAGUAUCUCUCUGAGAAGAGCUAUUAGAGUGUGCAGAAUUCAGCUCAAAGCUUAAGAUUUGUUACCUAAUCCUAAUGCUGUUAAGAAAAAUAGACUAAAGAAUUUGAAGGAAUUAUAUGUGAACAGUUUAUUCCAGUUACUAAAUGCAGAAUAAGAAGGAGUGCUGUCUGAAAGAGGAAUCAUGCUUCUGUUCUUAACAUAUAACAUAUAAAAUAUGAAGGGCUGUUCAGAAAAGACCCGCACUAUAUUGCUGUGUGCAAUAAAACAAAUCAAUUCUUUGAUAGAGAGAGUGAUGGAAAGCAGUGAUUUUGAAGCUGAGAAGAGUUGCAAAAAUGCAGAAUAUAUUUUUCCUUCAAAGUGUUUGUACUGUCAUUCAGAAUUUAAUCCUCAAAAUAUUCCUGCAAGACAGAGUAAAUAAGAAUUAAAAGGAUAAAAUAGUAUCAGAAGAAAAAAAAUGGCUACAAAGUGUUAACUGCAUGUACUUUACAGCAAAACAUUGAUGACAUAAAAGUGUCUCUCUAUCUAUUUUCUCAGGUUGAUUUUUAAAUUAAUUAAAUAAUUCAUUUACUGCUAAUGUAAAUAAAAGAAGGGCAAUGGGACCUCAGAUUUAGGAGGUCUUGUCUAAGACAGAUCAUUAAUGUAUUAAAAAAUAGAUCUCUGCCUCCAGGUCUUACCAACAAGAUCAGGUAAAAAUUCUGAAAUCAUUGAUACCAAGCCUUAAUUCUUCCAAAAGUUUAUAGAAGUUAAUGAUUCUACUAAGAAGGAGAGCUGAGAACUCAGUUUAGUAGGAAGAAACACCUUAGAGACAGGGAUUUGCUACUCAAGGCAGAAGAGAGCUAAGUCAACCCUAAAACUUAAAGAACUGUAAGAGAAAUAUCUUUGCUGUCAGACUAGCAUGUAAGACUCCAUUGUCCAAUCAUACAAGGCAAGGAAGUAUAAGAGGGUUUACAUCAUGUGCUAGAAAAUAUGAAGCUGUAUGUGAGGGCAGAAGCAAAAAAGAUAAAGUUCUGUGAGUUCUUGGCAGUUGUGAACCGUAAAGUUAUAAAGUGUCAUAGACUUUCUUAGAAGGUGUAAUGAGUAACAAGAAAUUCUAAUGUGAGUUUUAACAUUUUCUUUUUUGUUUCAUCUACAGUUUGUAAUUUUAAAUGAGCAGGUUAUUUUUGUCCUUAUAGCUUAUCUGUCAAUGAAACCGAAUCCUUUUAUCUGACUUUUCUGUUUCUUCUUUGUGACAAAUUCCACUACACGUGGUGGGUUGACUUUGGCUGCCUGCUAGACACCCAGAGAGCUGCCUUGUCUUUCCUGAACAUCAGCAGGAUGGGGAGAAAUAUAGAUUAAAUUCAUGGGUCAAGAUAAAGACAGAGAGAAAACCUACUAAGUAACAUCACAGGGGAAACAGAC